UCUACUUUAGUUGACACGCCAAAUAUAUCGUCAUGCAGUUCUCCACAAACAGGUUGAUUAUUUAUUCAUAAAAACGCUUCAGUUGGUGUCGUUUGUGUUUAACCAUUUAAUAACAUUUUGUUAGAGGGUGUACUAUUAUUUUUAGAAUUUUAGGGGACUGAGAACAAAGUUGAAUAAUUUCAAAUUAAGUACUGAAGGAGAAAACUAUGACCUAAUACUGGGGACAAAAACAUGGUUGAAUGCAUCAAUAUACAGUUCUGAAUUCAUUAACUGUAACAGGUAUGAGAUAGUUAGAUGCGAUAGUGAUCCGCAUACAACGAAUAAAGACAGGGGAGGAGGAGUUAUGAUAGGGGUGAUGUUGAAACCCGUCUCACAAUCGAUGAAGUAACCGACAGCGAUUAUUUUGAAGCUUUAAAGAAACUUAAGCCAAAAAAAUCUGCAGGAAGUGAUA